CAUGGAACUAUUGUGGACAGAACAAGCCAUACAGAGCAGGAAAAAGUAUUUGAGAUUGAAAGAAGGAUUAGCACAAGACAACCAAGAUUAGGGAACUCAGAUCUAAUGGAGUGGAAGAUUCUACAAGCUGUACAUUUCAACCUUAUUGUCAAGUCUACUUUAGGUGUUGUUUUCUGUCCUUGCAAGUCUUGUGUUAAAAUUAAUGAAAGCCACUUCUUUACUAAUUUUUUUUUUUUCACAGUUACUCACCAAAUCCCCAUUGGUGUAAAAGGAGCACUCAACUAAACAUUUCCUCUCUCCUCACAUGAUCAAUAAGGCCUUGUGUUUUUUGUUUUUUUUUUUUCCCCAAGGCAAGUACAAGGGGUGAGAAGCACAGGGGAAGGAGCUCAGUACAAGGCAGAACUCUGCAAGUGGGAUGCACUCCUAGAGUUCAGAACAGCAUGCUCACAUCAAUUUUUUUCUUCUUGCCUUUUUUUUUUUGUUUUGACUUGGGCAACAUAUUUUGCCAAGAGGAGAGAGUUCUCAUAGUCAUGCACAGAAAUAAAUGAAUUAGACUUAAAUUGAGGACAUUUGUUGAUUUUUUUUUUAUCCCUUCAAUAGCCAAGAAAACUCACAUUUAAGUAUACAUAUUUAUAAGUUGAUGCUUUAUUGUUCACAAACAAGGCAAAAUUUCUAUAUA